AGAUUCUGACUCACGGAGGUCUCAUCAUCAUCAGAAUCAUUCCCAAACACUGAUGGUUUCGCCUGCCCAGAAUCGCCACCUUGCUCCCUUCUCCGCUGAACGUAGUUGACGCUGACGUGACGCAGACACCGUCAGGUAAAUUCUCGCGCGACUUUGAGUAAAUUCUCGCGUUUAGCAAUUUUAUCUGUUUGAGUUGUUUUUAGAUUCCUGGUUAAUGUGUCUUAGGGCGUCUGCUUUGUUUUGAAGCCGACCAGCUGCAGUUCAUAGACGUUUCAGCCCAUAAUUGGCUGGUUCCGAGGCUGCCGUGGCAAACAAGCAUCGCAGAGGAGAAACAACUAGGCGCACCCAACGCACCAAAGGCAGGACUUUACUGGGGAAGGAGCUGCUGAGCUGCCUCGAACAAUGCAGGACAACAUAGCUGAUUUGAAUAUGGAGCAAGCAGUCUGUAGCAGGCAGAAUCAUGAAUAAUAUUAACAGACUGAGAAGAUUACGUGUGCAAUAGGCUACCAAACUCCAACUGUUUAUACAAAUGGAACCAAAGACAAAUGUGCAAGACUUCUUUUACCAGGAUCCACCAGAUUCACCUUGAAAAAAGUUCAUAACUGCUAAACUACAAUACGACUUCUUUGUUGGAUUCUGAAGGCCCCUUAUUCUCUUCGUGGCAGGCUAUUACUAGUUCCUCCUAGUAGAAAUACUUGUUGGCUAUAUUUAUAUCAACCCUGGUAUCCUUAUUAUUUAGCCCAUGUAUUCUUAACUGUUUCUUUGGUUUUGUCUCCCCCAGAUUUAAAGCUAUAAGACUACCCAUGACAACAAAGCCUGGUGCCUAUCAAGGGCCUUUAGAUAGACCUUCUAUAGAGUAACUCUCACUGCCGAUCAAACCUAUAAUGCUCUUCAGCCUUAAGUAGUCAGAAUGGUCUUUGCCCCUUGCCCACUCACAGCAGUUAAGAAUACUUCUUCAGAGAG
rnacentral:lncRNA from 1 species